rnacentral:rRNA from 1 species
CAGUCGCCGCGGUAAUGCGUAGGUGGCAAGCGCUGUCCGGAAUUAUUGGGCGUAAAGGGCUCGCAGGCGGUUUCUUAAGUCUGAUGUGAAAGCCCCCGGCUCAACCGGGGAGGGUCAUUGGAAACUGGGAAACUUGAGUGCAGAAGAGGAGAGUGGAAUUCCACGUGUAGCGGUGAAAUGCGUAGAGAUGAGGAGGAACACCAGUGGCGAAGGCGACUCUCUGGUCUGUAACUGACGCUGAGGAGCGAAAGCGUGGGGGGCGAACAGGAUUAGAUACCCCUGUAGUCCCUGUCUCUUAUAC